rnacentral:rRNA from 1 species
ACUCAAAUGAAUUGACGGGGGCCCGCACAAGCGGCGGAGCAUGCGGAUUAAUUCGAUGCAACGCGAAGAACCUUACCUGGGUUUGACAUCGCCGCAAAACUGUCGGAGACGGCAGGUCCUUCGGGGGCGGUGACAGGUGGUGCAUGGCUGUCGUCAGCUCGUGUCGUGAGAUGUUGGGUUAAGUCCCGCAACGAGCGCAACCCUCGUUCGAUGUUGCCAGCGCGUUAUGGCGGGGACUCAUCGAAGACUGCCGGGGUCAACUCGGAGGAAGGUGGGGAUGACGUCAAGUCAUCAUGCCCCUUAUGUCCAGGGCUUCACGCAUGCUACAAUGGCCGGUACAAACCGUUGCGAGCCCGUGAGGGGGAGCGAAUCGGAAAAAGCCGGUCUCAGUUCGGAUCGGGGUCUGCAACUCGACCCCGUGAAGUUGGAGUCGCUAGUAAUCGCAGAUCAGCAACGCUGCGGUGAAUACGUUCCCGGGCCUUGUACACACCGCCCGU